rnacentral:misc_RNA from 1 species
UUUCCGUAGGUGAACCUGCGGAAGGAUCAUUAACAAAAUCUCUAACACACCCACCCUGUUGAAGCGUCUGUGUGUGCCCAUCAGCGGCAAGAGAGAGAGAGAGGCUAGCUUGGCUGUCUUUCUUUCUCUAUGUUGCUGCUGGGCACAGACACACUCUCAUCAUCACCAUUUUGAUUGACAGCAGCCAACACAAUUAUUCAUUAAUUAUUAAUUGGAAACAACUUUUAACAAUGGAUCUCUUGGCUCUU